CCCAAAUUCGUGUACCCCCACCUAGCCACAACAUUUGGACCAAUUUGGCUUCUAGAAGAAUGCAUGAGAGGUCCAUUGUGAGCCAAGGAAAUUAUACAUGGCUAAGAAUGGUUUUUGGAAGAUAUUUGUUGUAAAAUAUCAAACCAAGUGGAGCCCAACUCUCACUUAUCUCUAUCUCCUCUCCCUCACACCCUCUCAACCGGCCACAUCUCUUCUGGGUUCCUCCAUUUUCUUUGUGCGAACAUAGAGGAAGGAAAAUCUCGAUCAGCCAUCCGAAGCUGUGCUGUGCUUCGAGUCUUCGUUCAGCCACGCUCGGUCAAAACCUCAACGCUGAAGACCCCGCAGUAGUUUCACGUUGACACCGCUGCUUUGUGUCUUCUCUCUCUCGCGGCCAGCAAAGCCGAAGCCGCAAGCGUCCCGCUGCCACGAAGAAUUCUCCACUUCGGCUUGUCUUCAUCAGAGUCAAAGGAACUAGCAUCUUCUCCUCUUCCGUUGACUGAAGCAGCCCCAAAAUCCCACGGAGUAGCUGAAGACCAAAGCCAGCACUGAAGGAAGCCACCACCGUCUCUCUUCAACCACGUGCCCACGAUCCAGUCAACGGCGCCCUCUCCUCUACCGUUUGUUGACCGAAGUUUCCACGCCUCUGUCGUCCACGCGUCUGCCUCCGCAACUCCAUAUGCGGCCAGCAAUUUCCACCGAAGGAAUCCCAAAACCCCAGCGAAUCAGCAGCAUGAUCGAAGCCGUGAGUCCACGGUCUUCAGCCACGUGAGCAACCGAAAGUCCAUCCCCUGUCCGCGUGAUUUCUCUUCUUCACUCGUGGAGCAGCUGGCCCAAGCUUGCAGUCUUCGGACCAUCUCCUUCGCAGUAAAUUGGGCCCAGCAAUCCAUCUCCUCCAGCAGCUCAGCCCAGAUGAAGCCUGCAAGCCCAGCAAGCCAGUCCAGUAUUCUGUUCAGCCCAAAGCCCAAGUGAACAGCUUCUUUGGGCCAGCAAAUCUCAUGAGCCCAUCAGUUCAGCAAUUUUUCAGCCCAGUUCAGCAAAGCCCGUUUGGUUCAGUCCAGUUUGAGCAGUUUGAGCAGACCCAAGCCCAAGAGCAAGCCCAUUUCAGAGCAAGAACAAAUCUCAGUUGGACUGAGAUUUGUUGGGCCUAAGCUUAAGGCCCGGUCCAAGUCCGCCGGUGUUGUCGAAAGUCCAAUUUCGGCCGCCGUCGCGUUGCCGUCGCGGUGAUUCGAUCUCCGCUUUUGUCAAGUGAGUUUUACUCAUUAAAGCUUUCUUAGUUUGCUAAUUAUACUUAAGGUUGGUUAGAUUUAAUUAAAUGCAAUUAGGUGGUUAGAUUAGUUUAGAUCAAUUAAAUUAGAGACUUAAUUAUGCAUGUUAGGUGGUUAGAAAUAGAUAUAGCAAGUAGACAUGCCAUGUUAUUUAUGGAACGAGUCUCGGUAAUUUUCCGGGCUUGUCUCGGUAUCCAAUUCGGCAUUACGAGCCUAAAUUGGAUUUUUUUUAUAAUUAUUUAUUUAAUUUUCGAAAUUAAUUAUUUAAUUAUUUAUUUUUCCGGAAAUUCAACCGGGAUGGCCGGUGACCGGAAUUUCGUGCUGAUUGUCGUGGUGCAGUCCGUUUAUUUAUUUGAGCUUUAUUUGGUGCUAAAAUAAUUUAUGAGUGAAUUUAAGAUUUAUUCCUAAAUUGAAUAUGGAGAGGGUCAGGUGGGACCGUAAAGCCACUAGUUCUUGAGAGGGUCGGAUGGGACCGUAAAGCCACUAGUUCUUGAGAGGGUCGGGUGGGACCGUAAAGCCACUAGAUCUUGAGAGGGUCGGGUGGGAUCGUAAAGCCACUAAAUCUAAAGAAUUGCUUGAAGUAGGAUGAACGACUUAGAAAGGGUCCGACUGAUAUGAAAUCGACUAGGUCGAUUCGAUCGAUGCUUCGAUCGGUGAUGUGAUUGUUUGAAUGCCUAUUGAACUGUACUAAUAUGCAAAUGGAAUCUGAGCCCAAGGUAAGUCCUCCAACUCGUGCCGUGUUCAGGCAGCCUAUAGUGUAUUGGAUUUCUAAUCGAGUCUUAAGGGGUAGGACUCGCUGAGACGUGGUCUCAUUGGUUAUUGAAUAACCAUUUCAGGACCCUGAGGAGAAGCUAAGGAAGAGGAACCUGAAGGGGAGAAAGACUUUUGAAGAAGAAGAUGAUCCAGAGAGGGACCUUGAAUAUAACCCGGAUGUGGACUGAGAUCCCAUCCCUUUUGUAAACCCUGUCUUAGCAUAGAUAGGUGUGAGACAAGUAUGUUGUGAAUAGUAUUGUAAAUAUACUAUGAGUUGCGCCGUUAAGGAAAGUGUGGUUGUGAAUUUCAAUAUGAAAGAAUAUGGCCUGCAUUCCUAUCCCAUUGUUUUAUUGUCUGGGGAUUUAUAACUGCUUCCGCAUGUGCUUAAUGAAAAGAAAGGGUCGGCGAUACAUAGUCCUGGGAUAUCGCAUUCUAAAAUCGACCAAGUAGAAGGAUGUGCGCGCGUCCGAGAAUCGGGGCGUGACAGCUAAACUGGGCCAAGAAGCCCUGAAAUCUACGACCACGCUGGCUGGGCUUCGCACGAAACAGAAGGAGGAACGAAGGGCAGCUGGCGGGUCAACAACCGAGGAGAUGGAGCUGCUUCGUUGACCCGUGUGCUGGCGUGAGCUGACGGUGGGGCGUGCGGCUUCAGAUGGCAACAGAAAGCGGAAAUGGAGAGAACAGAAAUGGGUUGGGCCGAGCGUUGGUGGAGUAAAGGAGGAGGACACACGGCAGCUGGUCUUCGAUCGUUGAUGCUGGAGAGAGACCGAACGAGUGGCAGACCAAGCUCACUCGCGGAGGCAUAAGGGAGUUCGAUGGGGCAGGAGUUGGCGUGGAGGUGCAGUAGGUUAAGACACGAGCUUGAAGGAGAUGGAGAGUUCGUGGAGAUGUGGAGCUGAGGGUCUUCGGUUUGCCGCUGGGUUGACUGGCCUGGGCAGCUUCGCUGGCGCCAAAUCGGUGGGGGCAGCAAGAGAGAAAGAGAGGCAACGAGGGGAUUAGUAAUCGAAGGAAAAUAAAGGGAAAAUGAAAGCAAAGUAGUAGCCAACGGAGAGGGAGAGAGAAAUGGUCAAGCAGGAAGAAGAUGAUGGAGCAUUUGGUAGAAUGAAUUGAAACAAAAGCAGAAGCAGAAGAUAGCUGGGUCGGGGGAAGCUACGCACGAAGGAGGUGUAGCCAAGCGUGCUUGAGAAGCCAAAACAAAAAGUCCCAACCCUAAUCCCCUCCAUUAAUUUCAUUUCCCCUUAAAGUCCACAACCUUAUCUUCUUUGUCCCCAUUUCUUUCUUGCAAGGUAAUUUCCAUAAAUAAUCCAAUUUUAAUGUCCAAAAAUCCAAUCCCCUCCCAAGCUCCGAAUUUAAUCAAAUUAAACUUCAAUUUCAUCCUCGAUUUCUCCAAAUCAACGUCCAAAAUGGAUGAAGAAAAGCCUACCAAAUUUCCAC
rnacentral:lncRNA from 1 species